CCUACGGGUGGCAGCAGUGAGGAAUAUUGGUCAAUGGACGCAAGUCUGAACCAGCCAUGCCGCGUGCAGGAAGACGGCCCUAUGAGUUGUAAACUGCUUUUGUACGAGGGCAAAACCCGAUACGUGUCUCGGGCUGAAAGUAUCGUACGAAUAAGCAUCGGCUAACUCCGUGCCAGCAGCCGCGGUAAUACGGAGGAUUCAAGCGUUAUCCGGAUUUAUUGGGUUUAAAGGGUGCGGAGGCGGUUCGGUAAGUUAGAGGUGAAAUCCCGGGGCUCAACUCCGGCACUGCCUCUGAUACUGGCAGGCUAGAGUUGAGGUGCGGUAGGCGGAAUGUGUGGUGUAGCGGUGAAAUGCAUAGAGAUCAUACAGAACACCGAGUGCGAAGGCAGCUUACC
rnacentral:rRNA from 1 species